rnacentral:lncRNA from 1 species
UGGCCUAUAGAUUGUUAUCGCCCAUAGAAAAAUAUAUACAGUCGAUGUAUUGUUCAUCAUUGUCCUUAGGUAAUUUUGGUCUAGAGGAGUAUUUUCUAGCACGCAUGCUUUGCUAAAAAAAUAGGAGGGCAUGUGUUGACGAUUAAAAUUGGCAGAUCUGGUCGGACAGGUGUGUAAACCGGUUAGCUCUUGAUGAGAAGAUUAAAAUGCAUAUGUAGAACAUGCGAUUCAGAGAUCAGAUGAUGGAGUUAUGACUUCGGGAAGAUCUGCACCUCAGAAAACCGGUCAAAUUGAUUUGUUAGGAUGGUGAGACCAGUUUGAUUAGGAGUUGUAUUUUAACACGGAACUUGUAAAGGUUAUCCAAUUGAUCAUAUCAAACCAAACUCCUAGUUUGCCUUUUACCUUUUCCUCUUUGCCUUAUCUUUUCCAACCCUAUCUUGUUGUUCUUCCUAUGUGUCAACAGUGAUUGAGAAUGUUCUAGGUGACUUGAACCCUAGAAUAACCCAAGGUACGUUUGCACUGGUGGGAUCCCUCCCGGACGAGUAUUCGCUAGUCCCUCGUCGGGCUCACCAGCGAAACUCGCCUCCAAACUAGUCUAAUCGGUUUGUGCGGAGGCGCUGCACUAGACGUUUGAGUGCUUGAGUAUUUGGCGUAACUCCUUGCGUCAACACAUUAUCUACUGCUAUAUUUAAAUGUUGUUUACCACAACAUACACUGGUGACUUUGAAGAUCUUUUCUUUUAACUUCCAAUUUAUUGUCCUCGAAAUACAACCCUUGAAACCAUGUAACAUACAUGCACGUUUUUGUUAUAUUUAUAUGGAUUAAUAAUUACUAUCACAUAUGUUUAUAAAUCAUUGCCUUGUUAGUAUAAAUUCGAGCUCAAUUGCCUUCUAGCCUUGUGUGACAUACAAGCAUGCAUCACUAUUUUAUAUGUGCCUUCGUUUGGGUCGUAGCUGACGAUUUCCUUAUCCCCCCAUGUUCCCUGAACUAGUCCAUCAACC